GCCUCCAUAGCUCAGUGGCUAGAGUGCUGGUCUAAUAAACCAGAGGUCAGGUGUUCAAUCCUCCUAGGAGGCA
rnacentral:tRNA from 1 species